GAAAUUACAAAAGGAGAAAAAAAAAUUCUAUUGGCUAAUGGAAGUCAAACCAAUAAUUAAAGCCUUUGAAUGCAUUGGAAUUUUUUUGGGGAAAUUACAAAAGGAGCAAAAAAAAUUAUAUUGGCUAAUGAUAUCACAAAGACGCAAAUGAUUUACCAACGUCUAAAGGCCACAUACUUUCAAAAAGGUUGUGCAUGAAUCAGUCACCCAGGAACAUCAUUCUCAAAGUAAUUGAGCUCUCUAAUCAAGUCUCUCGUCAUAUAGAAUUUUAAGUGGCGAUAAUAUCAAUUAUCUAGCUUUUUAUCCGAGGGAUCGAAGCUUAUUGGAUUCAAAAGCAUCUACUAUCACUCGAGCGAUUCAAAAAUUUUGUUGGUCGGGAGCCAGUUUGACAUGCUCUGGUUGGAACAAGUUUUUCUAGGCUAGAUAUGACGGAAAAUUCCACUUAAAGUGCUUAAAUCCUCGCUCAAUUUAUUUUGAGUAGGUCUGGGCUUGGCCUAGAAAUCGUAGGCCCUGUAUAUUCUGGCUAGGACAAGAAGUAUCUUGAUCCUAGAUUGCC
rnacentral:lncRNA from 1 species